rnacentral:tRNA from 1 species
CAGAGUAUAGUUUAAUUGAGAAUCUUAGCUUUGGGAGUUAAGGGUGGGAGUUUGAUUCUCUCUUCUCUGA